AAAUAAGGACUAGUACGAACGGCACCACGAAAACUACACUGUCUCCUUUUUAUAAUCAGUGAAACUGAUCUUCCCGUGAAGAAGCGGGAAUUAUUCUAUAAGACGAGAAGACCCCAUGAAGCUUCAAAUAAGUAUCAACUCUUAACUUUACACCACCAGAUACAUAAUAGUCAUGAUUACUAAUUUUUGGUUGGGGCGACCAUGGAGUAAAACAAAACCUCCACAAUGAAAAGGCCUAACCCCAUUAUUCAAGAACAACAGUUCUAACAAUCAAUACAUUGACAUAAUUGACCCAAACCCCUUGAUCAAUGAACCAAGUUACUCUGGGGAUAACAGCGCUAUCUAUUUCAAGAGUUCAUAUCGACAAAUGGGUUUACGACCUCGAUGUUGGAUCGGGGUAUCCCAGUGGUGCAGCCGCUACUAAAGGUUCGUUUGUUCAACGAUUAAAACCCCACGUGAUCUGAGUU
rnacentral:rRNA from 1 species